CCUACGGGAGGCAGCAGUAGGGAAGAUUGCUCAAUGGGGGAAACCCUGAAGCAGCAACGCCGCGUGGAGGAUGAAGGUUUUCGGAGGGUAAACUCCUGUUGGUAGAGAAGAGAAUGACGGUAGCUAACGAAUAAGCACCGGCUAACGCCGUGCCAGCAGCCGCGGUAAUACGGAGGGGGCAAGCGUUACUCGGAAUCACUGGGCGUAAAGAGCGCGUAGGCGGGAUAGCAAGUCAGAUGUGAAAUCCUAUGGCUGAACCCUAGAACUGCAUUUGAAACGGUUAUUCUAGAGUAUGGGAGAGGUAGGUGGAUUUCUUGGUGUAGUGGUCACAUCCGUAGAGCUCCC
rnacentral:rRNA from 1 species